ensembl:snRNA U6 U6 spliceosomal RNA
GUGCUUGCUUUUGGCAGCACAUACACUAAAAUUGGAAUGCUACAGAAAAGAUUCGCGUGGCCCCUGCACAAGGGUGACGCAAAAAUUCAUACAGUUUUCCAUGUUUAA